rnacentral:rRNA from 1 species
UGACAUCCACAGAACUUAGCAGAGAUGCUUUGGUGCCUUCGGGAACUGUGAGACAGGUGCUGCAUGGCUGUCGUCAGCUCGUGUUGUGAAAUGUUGGGUUAAGUCCCGCAACGAGCGCAACCCUUAUCCUUUGUUGCCAGCGGUCCGGCCGGGAACUCAAAGGAGACUGCCAGUGAUAAACUGGAGGAAGGUGGGGAUGACGUCAAGUCAUCAUGGCCCUUACGACCAGGGCUACACACGUGCUACAAUGGCAUAUACAAAGAGAAGCGACCUCGCGAGAGCAAGCGGACCUCAUAAAGUAUGUCGUAGUCCGGAUUGGAGUCUGCAACUCGACUCCAUGAAGUCGGAAUCGCUAGUAAUCGUAGAUCAGAAUGCUACGGUGAAUACGUUCCCGGGCCUUGUACACACCGCCCGUCACACCAUGGGAGUGGGUUGCAAAAGAAGUAGGUAGCUUAACCUUCGGGAGGGCGCUUACCACUUUGUGAUUCAUGACUGGGGUGAAGUCGUAACAAGGUAACCGUAGGGGAACCUGCGGUUGGAUCACCUCCUU